rnacentral:rRNA from 1 species
GAUGAACGCUGGCGGCGUGCCUAAUACAUGCAAGUCGAGCGAACGGACGAGAAGCUUGCUUCUCUGAUGUUAGCGGCGGACGGGUGAGUAACACGUGGAUAACCUACCUAUAAGACUGGGAUAACUUCGGGAAACCGGAGCUAAUACCGGAUGAUAUUUUGAACCGCAUGGUUCAAAAGUGAAAGACGGUCUUGCUGUCACUUAUAGAUGGAUCCGCGCUGCAUUAGCUAGUCGGUAAGGUAACGGCUUACCAAGGCAACGAUGCAUAGCCGACCUGAGAGGGUGAUCGGCCACACUGGAACCGAGACACGGUCCAGACUCCUACGGGAGGCAGCAGUAGGGAAUCUUCCGCAAUGGGCGAAAGCCUGACGGAGCAACGCCGCGUGAGUGAUGAAGGUCUUCGGAUCGUAAAACUCUGUUAUUAGGGAAGAACAUAUGUGUAAGUAACUGUGCACAUCUUGACGGUACCUAAUCAGAAAGCCACGGCUAACUACGUG